CCUACGGGUGGCAGCAGUGAGGAAUAUUGGUCAAUGGGCGCGAGCCUGAACCAGCCAAGUAGCGUGAAGGAUGAAUGCCCUACGGGUUGUAAACUUCUUUUAUAAAGGAGUAAAGUGAGGCACGUGUGCCUUUUUGUAUGUACUUUAUGAAUACGGAUCGGCUAACUCCGUGCCAGCAGCCGCGGUAAUACGGAGGUUCCGAGCGUUAUCCGGAUUUAUUGGGUUUAAAGGGAGCGUAGAUGGUUUGUUAAGUCAGUUGUGAAAGUUUGCGGCUCAACCGUAAAAUUGCAAUUGAUACUGGCAGUCUUGAGUACAGGUGAGGUAGGCGGAAUUCGUGGUGUAGCGGUGAAAUGCGUAGAUAUCAGGAAGAACACCGAUGGCGAAGGCAGCUUACUAAACUGCCACUGACAUUGAGGCUCGAAAGUGUGGGGAGCAAACAGGAUUAGAUACCCUUGUAGUC
rnacentral:rRNA from 1 species